CCCGUCCAACAACACCUCCCGGGGAGGCAGAGGGGACGGGAGAUGCUGCCGGGGAUGCAGGAGGCGGCCGCGGGCUGGGAGCCCCCCUCGGGGCGGAGGAGAUAAGGAGAUUCGACUAGCAGAUUCCCCAGGCUGAACCCCUCCGCCGGGCUGAAUUUAGCAGUGGCAGAGAUAACCGGGAGAUAAGGACUGAUACCCGGGAGGACAGCGGGAGCCCGGCAGGCGGCCGCGGGAAGGGGGAGAAGCCGGAGGCAGAGUCCCGUGGCGCUUGGGGAACGGGAUGGAGCGUCUCCACGGGACGCCCCAAAGAGGAGCAGAACGCGCGGUCAGAAAGAGAGGAGCAGGAGUGACUUCUCCUCCUGUUGCUGUGUAUCCAGAUGUGCCGCAUUUCCAGAGGACAAACAUGUUUCUCUCCACUCGUUUCAAUACCUCUGACGAUUCUUUUCUCUACUAAAGAAGUGUGAUCGUAUUUUCUGAAGUUUGUCCAAUUUAUACUGAAAAUCAGCGCUUUCUUAAAAAAAAAAAAAAAAGCAAACAUUUAAUUAAAUCCGUUUCGAAAUGCCCAAGCAGCCUGUGUCUUCGCUGCCGUUGCCAGGAGCAGAGAAAAUUUCAAGGACCUGCCUGCCUCCGCUUUAUCGCGCUGCCUUUUCCAGGAGUCCCGAUGUGUCGGCUGCGCGGCCGCGAGGAUUUCAGGAAUAAUCGCAAAAUUCCUGCGACAGGUUUUGCGUGUGUGCGGCCAGAUCCAGCCGCUUUCGGCAGGGGAAUAUUAGUCCCCGUUGCAAAACACCGCGGCGGCGCCUGGAGAUGAACCGCUCCGUGGUGCGGAUCGCGCGAAUUAGCAGGCAGGAGGGGACUGAUGUAUUUCGGACCCGUUUUUCUCCUUAUUUCCUAAACGUGCGAAAAAGCA